GACCUCAACAGCUCUUAUGGUAACAACAGCAUCUUCGCUCCUGUGAACCUGCCUCAGUCGAAGACUUUCUUCAGCUCCUGGGGGAGCUUCCCUAAACUGAGUGAUGAGCCUCAGAACCCUCCUCCACUUCCUCCACGAAAAAAGAUGGAUCAGGAUGCUUCCAAUGCUAAGGUAUUGCUGUCCUGGAUCGAAUAGCUGUGGUGAUGAACUGGGGAAUAUCUAGAAUAAUUUCUCUUGGAAAAGACCUUGAAGAUUGUCAAGCUCAACCAUUGAUCCAA